rnacentral:tRNA from 16 species
GGCUAAGCGUAGGUCUCGCAACCGAAAGGUCGUGGGUUCGAUCCCCGG